GAAAUGAAAUUCAAACCAGUGAAUUUCAAAAAUCCCAAUAAAUAUGUAAAAUUAACCAAAAUCAGAAGAAUUAAAGAAAUAUGAAAUACUAAAACCUCAAAAAAUAAAUACAUAUAAAAGAAGAGGAAUGCACUCAUAUCUGAUAUAACAUUAUCAAGAGGAGGUACAUCUGACUCAACUGACCCCCCUUCCCCUUUAAAAUCCACUGGGUUUCUGUUAUACAAAAUUAGAUAAAGAACCAUUCUUAAUUAUUUAAUUAUAACAGUUCCUGAAAAUUCUGAAUUCUUUCCCAAUACAAUGAAAGAAUUGCAAUGUCAAAUCAAGCAGAUUAAAUUAAUUAGAUGCUUUUAACUAAAUUUAAAAUUGAAAUUAAGUAGUAAUUAAAAAAUUGCUGAAGUACUUCUAACUUUAACUACUUCCAAAUACUAAAAUUCUUUUAAAUUACUAAUAUUAAAAACUUGGAUAAUUUGUUUAAAUGAAAACUGGUGAUAAUGUGUAUUAUACAGAUAUAAUUUAUUAUUAUAAAAGUUUUUUAAUAUCAUCUCCAAGGAACAUAAAUUUAAUUAAUUUGAUGACUUAUUGGAAUAAAUUUGAGUCAGCAUUUUAAGUAUAAGUAAUUUAGAUUUCUCUUGUAGUAAAAAUAUUUUAAUAAUCUGUAUAGAAAUAUAAUUUUAAACUGAAAAAUUCUAAAAAGUGAAAUUAAAAUGUAAAGUACUAAAAAGGUAGCCAUUGUUAUUGACCAUAGAUUAAUUGACUUGUCAAAGAGAACAAACCAAUCCACUAUCAAAUAACAAAAACUAAAUAAAGUGAGAGUGUUUUGUCUUAUAUAUAUAUAUAUAAAGUAUUGAGUCCUUGUCUAAAGACAAUUGCUUUUGGAACAUUAAAAUAACUUAAUUUUUCUAUGAAAUGAAUUUCUAUUCUUAUGUGAAAGUUUAUUACACAUACUUUUAAUAUACUUCUCAUACCCAUCUGGAAAAUUUUGAAUAUAUGCAUAUACACACUGCACAACACAAUUUUAAACAAUAGUACAGCAGAUUGCAAUAAAUAUUUUUUUUAUGAAUGUACAGGCACAAGAGAUGCCUUAGAACAAAUACAAGAAUAGUACUUGAAAGAAUAAAUUAUUCACUUGCAUCUUCUUUAUAGUAAUGUUUACAAUAAUUACUCAAAAUUGCUUCUGCUAACAGUAAUAGUACAUGCUUGACAGUGUCAAUAGAAUAAUUUCCUUAUACUUUUCCUAGUAGACGACUUGCCUGGCCGAAAUAUUUAGCAUCUUUGUAGGUAUGCCUGUCAUGCCUUCAACACUGUCAAGUACUAUUGAUGGAUAUCAUUUGGGACAUUUACUGUAAACACCGUUCAACUUAUGUAACAAGUAAAUAAGCGAAAUAUUACACACACACACAUAUAUAUAUAAUAAUAGAUUUUACUCAUUUGCUUGUUUUUUAUAAAACAAGUUACAAAGAUAAUUCAACACAUAAUUAGAAACAGUUGCAUAUAAACUAGCAAAAGCCAUGAAAAUUCAGCAACUUGAAAUAAUUAAAUGGGCAACAUUAGUAGUUUAAAAUUUCAGAAUAAAUAGAAUUAUUGAAAUUUUUAUUAUGUUUCAUAGUAAAUUUUUAGGUUUUAUAAUAAUAGCUUUUACUUUACACAAGUUCCUUUAAAAUGAUUUGAUUUGCAUUUUAACUGUAUUCCAGAAAUUUCAGUUUAAACUGAACAAACUUGUUAUAAUUGGUCAUAAUUUAAAUUGAACUUUGUAUUUGUAAAUUUGGAUUAUACAGCAAUUAUGCAAAAAGGAAAGGUGGUGUUUACAAUGGUUUUUUCUCAUAUAACUCAUAAAAUUAAUUUUUUUGUUUGUAAAUAAAAAGCAUGCUAACAAUACAUGAUGCACAAAAACAUGGUAAAGUAGUUAGUAGUCAGUAGAAGCAUAUUAUUAGAUUUGACUAAUGUAGGCUCGAUUGUAAGUGGAUUAUUGGUUGCACUUUGAACAAUAUUUUCAAACAUAACACAGUUAAAUGAUUAAUUAAUUUCACCAGUUUCCAAAUCAAGGAACUGUCUAGCCACUAGAUUAAAAGAAAAGCACAGAAAUCAAAUCAACUGAUUAAACAUAAUUUUUCAACUUGCUAAAAAAAUAAAUGCUUAGAUAUUUAUUUAUAUAAUGAUAAUUUAUUUGAUGUUCGGUUAAUUUUUUUUUUCCCACAUCAGGGUAUAACUAACUUGAAACAACAACAAAAAAUCAUUUAGAGAUAAGCAUUAUUUUAUUUAAUGAACCGAAUAAAAUGCCUGAUAACUUGAAGAAAAUUAAAAUAUGUAGGUGUAAGAACAAAAUGUACAAAAGGCAAAAAUUCAGUUUUAAAUUUCUUCCUAUAAGCAAAAAGAAUCGAAAUACGUAUGCAAAACAAACUGUUCUAAAUAUAACUGAGACCCAUCAAGAAAUAAAUAAAUCUGCACUAGCUAUAUAAUACUCUACAAAAUGGCCAUAAUACACAAGUACGACAAAUAUAACCUUAAUAUUAUAAGUUCCUGUCACAGAUCAUGGAUAUACAAAAAAGAGUCCCGUAAUUUUUAUACACGAAAAUUCGUUUCCAGUUCUGUAUCUAAUAUGUUUCUUCGCUAUUGUCAUAUUUUACAGUUAUUUUAUAUGGAGAGACAAAAAGAAUUACUUUUAUUUUCUGUAUAUAUUUUAACAAAAGAAACCUUAUAAAAUGUAGCAAGAAAGUCAGAAAAUAUCUGACAGCUUUAUCGCAUUUAAGUCUUCAUUGAAAUGUUAGAGAAAUUUCACUUCUUCCUAUUGGUCGGUCGGUCAGGUUAUGCUGGGAAUAUUGUGAAGUUCGCAAUGUGUCCGACUAAUUAAAAAUGUUGCCAUAAAGGCGCGUCACGUAAUGAAUUCUUCAAAUGAAAUUCUCAUGAAAGAAAAUUAAUAUAUGUAGAAAGACUCCUAGGUUUGAAUUCGUCUGCUAGCUUUAUAGUCACGUGACUUGUAAUAUACCAUCAGUUUAGUUGUAGAACUACUGGUAUAGCUUGUGAGAUAAGACCUUGAAUCAUAUGUAACCAAUCGUAUAUUCAGGAUAAUAAUCUGUGUGGGCAUUCAAUUUGAAAAAAGCGGAGAUGAUAAAAAUUCUUUUGCAAUGCUAUAUAGUUACACUUGAUAUUUUGCCUUUAUUUCUCCUAGUUUUUUAUUCACAAUACUUUGAUCAGAAGCAUCUGGCUGAGUCGGAAUUGUUUAGAUCCCAAACAAAUAACUGAAGAAUAGAUCUUUCUAGACAAAGAUGCUGCUCUACUGGAUUUUAUUCAGAAUAAUUAAAACUGUCUUGGGAAGGCUGUCAAGGGAUCCACAUUUCAUUACAUCUAUAACAACUGGCCUUACAUCUACAUUUCAGCUGGCUAAUUCACAUUACAACUGGCUGGUAAGAG